GGGAGCGUUCCACCUCAGAGAGAAGCACCGGCGUGAGAAGGUGUGGACGAAGCGGAAGCGAGAAUGUCGGCUUGAGUAAUGCAAACAUUGGUGAGAAUCCAAUGCCCCGAAAAACUAAGGGUUCCUCCGCAAGGUUCAUCCACGGAGGGUGAGUCAGGGCCUAAUAUCAGGCCGAAAGGCGUAGUCGAUGGACAACAGGUUAAUAUUCCUGUACUACCCCUUGUUGGUCCCGAGGGACGGAGGAGGCUAGGUUAGCCGAAAGAUGGUUAUCGGUUCAAGGAAGCAAGGUGACCCUACUUUUUUCAGGGUAAGAAGGGGUAGAGAAAAUAACUCGAGCCAAUGUCCGAGUACCAAGCGCUACAGCACUAAAGUAACCCAUGCCAUACUCCCAGGAAAAGCUCGAACGACCUUUAACAAACGGGUACCUGUACCCGAAACUGACACUGGUAGGUAGGUAGAUAAUACCUAGGGGCACGAGACAACUCUCUCUAAGGAACUCGAAAAAAUAUCCCCAUAACUUCGAGAGAAGGGGUGCCUCCUCAGGAGGUCGCAGUGACCAGGCCCGGGUGAUUGUUUACCAAAAACACAGGUCUCCGCAAAGUUGUAAGACCAUGUAUGGGGGUUGAUGCCUUCCCAGUGCCCGAAGGUUAAAGAAGUUGGUGACCUGAUGAUGGGGAAGCCAGUGACCGAAGCCUCAGUGAACGAUGGUCGUAACUAUAACGGUCCUAAGGUAGAAAAAUUCCUUGUCGGGUAAGUUCUAACCCGCACGAAAGGCGUAACGAUCUGGGCACUGUCUCGGAGAGAGACUCAGUGAAAUAGACAUGUCUGUGAAGAUGUGGACUACCUGCACCUGGACAGAAAGACCCUAUGAAGCUUUACUGUUCCCUGGGAUUGUCUUUGGGUUCUUCUUGCACAGCUUAGGUGGAAGGCGAAGAA
rnacentral:ncRNA from 1 species